UACUUCAAAGGACCGUAUAGCUGUCUCUUUGCUGUGUCUGCAAUGUCAUGGGCAUCCACUGAAAAAGUCAACAAAUGGAUCAACUUGUUAUUUGUCAAGACUCCAUGGUGCAAAACUUCAGCGUGUGGCGUGACUUUAAAGCAAAACAACAAAAUAGACUGAGAGAUUAUGAAUUGGAAAACUGUGUCGUUUUGGUUCACAACACAGAUAACGGUGGCAAUUCUGGGGCUGUGUAGAAAAUGCAGUCCUUUUUAAAAUGAUUGUUGCACAGCUUGCAUGUGGAUCAGGACAUGCAUGCAAUUACAUUGGUAAAAUGUGGGUGUAAUUGGGCAUGCACCUAAAUGGAAGAAUACAUGUGUAAGGUGGAAUCUGAAUAAUAAGUAAAAAGUAUUCUGCUUGCUGAAUCUGUA